CUAUUUAAAUAUGUUGAAAGCAUGUCAUUUAUUUCAAUAAAUUUACAACAAAAUGUAUUCAGGGUUAUCAACAACUCAGUAUUCUUGUAACCAAAAUACAUUGGCGCACUGAACAGUUGAAGUGUUUGGCAUUCAGAACCUAUAAAGUGACUCAAAUAAUGUAGUGUGGUUAUUUUUCAUAACGUAGACACUCACAUACCUAUGCACGAAUCUGCAAAGUCGCUAGCCAAGCCAAUAUUUAAAGUUUUCCAUAAGGAAUUUCUCAUGCCAAAGCUAUUGAAGGCCGAGUUCUUUUGAUUCAGCUCAUCCUGCUAAGUGGAGACAUACUGCAAAGAGCGCCUGCAAGAAGGUAUUUUUCUAUUAAUGGACCGACUCCAGGGACUCGGCUAUCAGUUGCCAUCGAGAGGGACAGAGGGUCUUAUCGUGUGUCCUUGAAGGGGACUUAUUAUAUGCCCUCAAAAGGGUCUUGUUGUGGAGGCUAAAUCCUGGGAGUUACUGAUUCUGUGGCCUCGGAAGGGCUUUUAUGUUUGAGAAUCGAGUCCUAGAACUCAACGAUCUGGUGCCAUCGGAAGGGAUUUUUGGCUCACCCCCAAAGGGCUAUUUCUAUUCGCCCUCAUAAGUGUCUCUGUUUGUCCUCGGAAGCGUCUUUCUCAGACAUGGUACGACAGUCGAGAUGUUUGAGGUAAGUUUAGUGAAAAAAAAAAUAGGGCCAGUUACUCAUAAGACUGACGGA
rnacentral:lncRNA from 1 species